ensembl:piRNA 21ur-4879 ncRNA
UUCUUAGUACAUAGUAGGUGA